CACAUUUUGUAGAAGUUGAUGGAUUAAGAAAAAGAAGUUGCAUUUUAUUACCUAUCCUAAAGAUAGAAGGUGAUCUGAACAUUCUAAUAUCACUUGCCAAGACUGUUGGAGCAUGGGGAAGAGAGGUUCCUCGCAUGACUGACAGCUUAGAAGCCAGAGGUCAAGGGAGCCUAUCGAUCAAUGCACUCCACGCAAAUAUGUCCCAGGAGCAGGAUAGAACAAGGUGUAAAAGGGUGGGACUCUAUCUAGAGGGGCAAAAUGAAGAUAUCGAACACAUUGACAUGAAUAAAAUAUG
rnacentral:lncRNA from 1 species